rnacentral:misc_RNA from 1 species
AUGUCGAAACGUAAUCAAAAAGGCGUAUCUACGGAAGAUGCCGUAAAAAUGACGAAGGAGCAAGAAGACAUUGCCAAAUACAUCAGAUUCAAUUGUCCGACAGCCACGACCAUGUUUGAAGGAAACGAAGUUCAUUAUUUCAGUGGAAAUAAAGCUGUCGAUACUCUUUGGGAAUCCAAGUACGGAAAUAAAGCAAAGAAAGAUGCAAUGUUUAAAACAAGAUUCUAAAUUUUCAGAGAUGAUUGCUUCCAUUAUAUUUGCGAACUCAACUCGAAACAAUUAUUCUUCCGUGCAAAAAAAUUAGUAGCAAAGAAAAAAGAGAAUAAAGAUAAAGGAAACGAUUCUUCUGCUGAAGUUACCAAAUCUCCAAAAGGUGUAGUUGAAAAGAGAAAUAAAAAAGCCAAAGAAGAAGAAACAGCAACCGAAGCUGAAGGUGAUGAGAAAGAAGUGAAAAAAGACGAAAAGAAAGACGAAGAAAAAAAGAAAAAGAAGGUGAAGCUUCUUGUACAUGAAGUUCAAGCAUUCGUCGAUGACAAAGAUGUCUACGUUUGGGUAUUCGAUCCAACUCCUCUCAUGAAAAAGAUUAUUGGAGUACUUAUGCUCGUCGGUACAAUUGUCGGAUGCUUGUUCCCUCUAUGGCCUGUAUGGCUUCGCCAAGGAGUUUAUUACGUAUCAAUUACUGGAAUUGGAUGUUUUGCAGCUAUCAUUGUCACUGCUAUACUCCGUACUAUUCUUUUCGGAAUUAUCUACGCUGUUACUUUCGGAAAACACAAACUCUGGGUUCUGCCGAACUUGACUGAAGACUGUGGAGUUCUUGAAUCAUUCCAACCAUGGUAUACUUAUGAGUAUGUUGGUGAUGAGAAGAAAGAAGCUAAGAAAGAUAAGAAAGAUAAAAAGUCGAAAAAAGAAAAGGAUUCUGAUGCAGAAGAGGAGGAGCAAGACCACAUUGCUGCUGAACAGGAGCAAAAAGAGGAAGAAGACGAUGAUGCUGAAAAAAAUAGUCAGGCAUCAACUGAUGAUAAUUAUGAAAAAAUUGAAGACGAGGAAAUCUCUGCUCCACCAUCACCAAGUGACGAUGCUCCUCGAAAACGUCGUCCAGCUAAAGUCUAG